GCUAGUCAGGUUUAAUCAGUGAGAAAGUACAUGGUGUGUUUGCUUUUCCCUGAAAACCAUUUUCUGCUCUGUAACAAAUCUGAAGCCCUAUAAAAACGCACCAACAGCCUGCACGAGUGCAGCUGGGGCUAAGGGGAGCGGGGUGGCCGUGAGCACAGCAGGGCCUGCAGCUGCUUCUGCUGCUGGUCCAUCAAGGCUGUGGAUGUUUUGGAGCUGGGGCUCUCGCUUCAUGAGUAAUUCACUGAGCAGCCCCUUGGGAAGAAGCUGGCACUUGCCCUGCAGAUGGGAUGGUGCCCAUUUUAUGAGCCUCUCUGCUGGUCAUGAGGAUUUCCUUCUGAAGGAAAGCUUAAAAUAGAAGCCAUGGGCUCCUGUGGCAGUGGACUGUGGAAGAGCAGCCUUUAGCAACUUUGUUUUUACCUGUUUGGGGCUGAAUUUUCUUUGGUAGCCUCAGCCCAGCUCGGAUAUUAGAGCUGUGGUGAGCAGACAUGUCGGUGCCUCGAGUGCUUCCCUCCACGGUGCUGAUGAAGAGCUGCUUCAGCCCCUGCACACCUUCCCCUUCAACGUGAGACCUGCAGCAGCCAUGGGCAUGGCUAUAGUGCCACAACUUUUCCUUACUGACCUGGACCAAAGCCUUCCCCAUCUCCUAAAAGCUGUGUCUUCCCCAAAGGCCUGGACCCAUGGAGCUCCGGCCCAGGCCGCCCAGCUCCCACACCCCUGCAGGUGGUUGCGGGGGGCCUAAAGAGAUGUAAGAGAAGCAAGCACAGGGCCGAGCACGGUGUAAAUACAGGAAUAUAAUACAGGAAUAUAUGCUUGGGCAGUGAGCUGAGAAAGCCUGAGCUGCCUUUGCUCCUUGCUGAAGGACAGGAUCCAUCCCAAGGUGUCGCGAUGGCUGGUGCCCCAUCCACCCUGCUGCCUCCCACCUGCGCCGUAUUUUACGUUGCAAAGCAUUAAUUAUUGCUGUAACAAACAUUCCUGACCUCGUGCUCUGGCAGCAGCCAAAGCGAAAGGCAGUUGGGCAUUCACACCGACUAAGUGGCAGCUGCAAUUAACGCACCUCCGCGUAAUUACGGCGCGGCACCUGGCCGUGGCUGGGAGGCUUGAGCAGAAGCCAGGUCGUGUGGGAGGAGGGCUUCCCCAGAGGCCCUGGUGAGCGCGGGGCUGGGCGGUGGAUGGAUUACAGCUGUGUGUUUAAAAAUAACCCGCUAACUUUGCAGAGGAAUGUAUUUGUUAUGGAGCCACUGGAAGGCCGGGGUAAGAGACCCGGGAGCGAGCUGGGAGCCGAGCCAGGAGACGGCUCCUGGGCACGAUGCUCCCUGGGAGAGGAAGACUUGGGCUGCCGAGCGAGGAACCUGCUCCUGUUUGUUUGCUCUCCGUGUUCGGGGAAACAAGACUUUGUGUAUGGUUUAUGGGAGAAAUAAACACCAUUGCGCCAAGGAACUGCUUCGCUCGUCACCAGUUGUGUUGUAGUGGAAACAACCUGGCAAGACCCCACAUGUUGGCUAAUCCCCGGGCCAGAUGGAGGGUGGCUGCUCCAGAGCAGUGCUGGUGGAAGAGGCGAGACCAAACGCGUUCCCACCACCACGGGAGGUUUCCUGGCGUCACUUCACAAACACCCCCACCCAGCAGCGCCCCGUCAACAGAAAACAGCUUUCCACUUCAGCAAUGCUGAAGUAAGUCUCUCAUUCGCUUCGAGGCUGGGAUGGAAGCUGAGUUACUCCAAGCAAUGUGUGGCAGCGAACAGAUCCCAACACCACUGGGUUUCUGCCGUCUCAGUGCAGCUCCUUGCACCACUCCUCAGUUGGGUGGACCUGGGUUUUGGGCUCAGCUCUUGCACGAGGAGCAGAUCCAUUCAAUAUUUUGGUUUUGUGACUGUGGUAAACUCCUGAGUUGUCCAUGAUACUGUGCUUCAUUUAUGGCCAAUUUUGGGUACUACGUAACAGAUGCCAGAAGUGUUUUGUUUUGACUCAGCAGAGAUCAGCACCCUUCCCCAUGCAGCAUCUAUUCGUGUCUGAGCCAAGUAACUCUUCCUUUAAAAUCUGUCAGCCUUUUCUACAGAAAUAAAUGCCCAGGAGAGGAGGAGAGAGGCUGGGGACAGAAAAAAUGUUGAGGUGUGAAUAGGCAUGUAAAAAUGGCUAGGAAUGUCUUCCGGGCAAGGAAGUGUGCAAUUUGUUAGUACUGCUGGGCCUUUCCCUCUGCUCCUUUGCCUGUGGCUUGUUUCCUCCUAUUUAUGUGAAGCCCAGAGCUUGUGCUGCAGGCUGAAAGCAGCAGAGUGGAGAAGAGAAGCCAAAAAUUUAGGAGAAAGUUAGCCCAGCUUGUGAUGCCCUUGGGAAAUCAGUGUGAUGGGAAAGUUGAACCUUUCCUUCCUCCCAUUUUCUAACUGCAGACGUUGCCCUUGUCUGAGGAUCAGACCAGAUUUCGAGCUCCCCUGGUGGUACGCGUGCUGCCCACCGCAGCAGCCUCCCGUAGUAACGCAGAAUGCAGGAUACAAAUAACACAGCCACAAAGUGUGUGAAAGGAAGCUGUGGGCUCCCCGGCUCGGGGCGGAGGUUCCCCAGCCUCGCUGGGGUUGUGUUCGGCACCACCAGGACCCAUCCGAGCCUAAGGUUCAGUGCCUCUUGUCACCAAGCUGUCUGCGGUUGGAAAAGAGGGCACGAGAGGACACGGAGACCGCUGGAGGAACACAAAUAGUAGGGUCACACUUGUGCUUGCAAGGACCACGGCUUUGUUCUCAGGGCGUAGUCUCGCUUCAAGGAUGUGCACUGGUCAGGGCUGCUCUGCAGGGCCGAGGCUGAGGAUCACACCUCAGCUUGAAUCUGAUAUGAAAGGCUUCUCUCACCCAAGAGCAGUCCCCUCCCAGAGAAGAGCCAGCUGCCCAGAGAGAUAUCAUCAGCACGAGGAGAUUUUUCCUUUACCCUGUUGCAAACGCUGUGGCUGCAUGCAAGAUGGGAAAGAACAAAGACAUUUCUUGCCUUGCCAGCCCCCCUGGUGCUAAAUAAACAUCCACACGGUCUGCA